UUGAACGCUGGCGGAAUGCUUUACACAUGCAAGUCGAGCGGCAGCGCGGGGGCAACCCUGGCGGCGAGCGGCGAACGGGUGAGUAACAUAUCGGAACGUACCCAGUAGUGGGGGAUAACUAUCCGAAAGGAUAGCUAAUACCGCAUACGCCCUGAGGGGGAAAGUGGGGGAUCGCAAGACCUCACGUUAUUGGAGCGGCCGAUAUCGGAUUAGCUAGUUGGUGGGGUAAAGGCUCACCAAGGCGACGAUCCGUAGCGGGUCUGAGAGGACGGCCCGCCACACUGGAACUGAGACACGGUCCAGACUCCUACGGGAGGCAGCAGUGGGGAAUUUUGGACAAUGGGCGAAAGCCUGAUCCAGCAAUGCCGCGUGCAGGAAGAAGGCCUUCGGGUUGUAAACUGCUUUUGUACGGAGCGAAAAGGCUCUCUCUAAUACAGGGGGCUCAUGACGGUACCGUAAGAAUAAGCACCGGCUAACUACGU
rnacentral:rRNA from 1 species